GACAGAGGGUGCAAACGUUGCUCGGAAUUACUGGGCGUAAAGCGCGUGUAGGCUGACCGGAAAGUCGGGCGUGAAAUCCCUGGGCUCAACCCAGGAACUGCACUCGAAACUCCCGGUCUUGAGUGGUGGAGAGGGAAGUGGAAUUCCUGGUGUAGAGGUGAAAUUCGUAGAUAUCAGGAGGAACACCAGUGGCGAAGGCGGCUUCCUGGACGCCAACUGACGCUGAGACGCGAAAGCGUGGGGAGCAAACAGG
rnacentral:rRNA from 1 species